rnacentral:rRNA from 1 species
UACGUAGGUGCGAGCGUUGCCCGGAUUUAUUGGGCGUAAAGGGCGCGUAGGCGGCUCUGCACGUCCGUUGUGAAAUCGCCCCGGCUCAACUGGGCGGGGUCAGCGGAUACGGCGGAGCUUGAGCAAGCUAGGGGGCAAUGGAAUUCCCGGUGUAGUGGUGGAAUGCGUAGAUAUCGGGAGGAACACCAGUGGCGAAGGCGGUUGCCUGGGGCUUUGCUGACGCUGAUGCGCGAAAGCGUGGGGAGCGAGUCCGG